UACGUAGGGUGCAAGCGUUGUCCGGAAUUAUUGGGCGUAAAGAGCUCGUAGGCGGUCUGUCGCGUCGGAUGUGAAAAUCCAGGGCUCAACCCUGGACCUGCCAUUCGAUACGGGCAGACUAGAGUUCGGCAGGGGAGACUGGAAUUCCUGGUGUAGCGGUGGAAUGCGCAGAUAUCAGGAGGAACACCGAUGGCGAAGGCAGGUCACCUGGGCCGCAACUGACGCUGAGGCGACGAAGCGUGGGGAGCAAACAGGAUUCAGAUACCCCAG
rnacentral:rRNA from 1 species